rnacentral:rRNA from 1 species
AACGAACGCUGGCGGCAUGCCUAACACAUGCAAGUCGAACGAGACCUUCGGGUCUAGUGGCGCAAGGGUGCGUAACGCGUGGGAAUCUACCCUCAGGUUCGGAAUAACUCAGAGAAAUUUGAGCUAAUACCGGAUGAUGACGUAAGUCCAAAGAUUUAUCGCCUGAGGAUGAGCCCGCUUAGGAUUAGGUAGUUGGUGAGGUAAAGGCUCACCAAGCCGACGAUCCUUAGCUGGUCUGAGAGGAUGAUCAGCCACACUGGGACUGAGACACGGCCCAGACUCCUACGGGAGGCAGCAGUGGGGAAUAUUGGACAAUGGGCGAAAGCCUGAUCCAGCAAUGCCGCGUGAGUGAUGAAGGCCUUAGGGUUGUAAAGCUCUUUUACCCGGGAUGAUAAUGACAGUACCGGGAGAAUAAGCUCCGGCUAACUCCGUG